CGCACAAACUGCGGUGCAGCGCAGCGCUCACGCCUGCAGACUGGGCAAAGAAACUCCUGGCAGAAGCUGGAAGGUGAUGUCUUCUCAAACCACAGACAUUUCUGCAGCAUUGGCUGACCAUGGCCCCACAUCUACACAAACAUGGCCAACUCCUCAUCUCUUAAAAGGUCACAUGUACAGUUGCCUGCAUUCAGGAUUGUAGCUAUGAUGAUUUAUCAGUAAACUCUAGAAGUGGGAACAAAACCUACAGAGGCGGAAGAUCAAAGAGAGAUGUGUCACCAUCCAACGGGACAAUAAGUGCUCAGAACAAUAUAACAAGUAUGUGAUUUGGAAUUUGGCUGGGAGGUGAAUCUUCAGGGUGUUUUGUGCCUAUGUAGUGUGUUAGCAUUUUAGGUCCAAACUGUAGUCUAGAGUGUAAACAGCAUAGCAGGGAGUGGAUCCAGUUGCUGUGCUGGAGUAGAGAAUCAGCUGGAGAAAUGUAUCUGCACAGCUCACUGGGAGUGUAGUUUAAAGCUGUGAUUGUAGAAAUGAUUUUUAUCACCGUUUGACUUUUCUAAAGGUUUGUGUUCCCUUCUCUUCCCUGCUUUUUAUGGCCUUCCUAGG
rnacentral:lncRNA from 1 species